GUAAGAUGAGCCUUUGCUCCUCUUUUGCCUUCUGCCAUGACUAUGAGGCCUCCCCAGCCGUGUGGAACUCCCCAGUCCCCCAGGACCUUGCAUAUGGCCUGCAGCUCCUCACUGUCCUCGUCGUAGGAGGCCAACAGGAAGCCCCCGUACCGGCCGGCCCGCUUCCCCCGGCCCAGGACCUGAGGAAGAUGCACCUCACGCCAACGUGGAGUUGGAAAGAGAGGGACCUCGGAGAUGUCCUUGAAAGAGUCUUAAGGAACCUCAGGGGUCCUCAGACCACACUUUGAGAACUGCUGCCCAAGUGUGGCCUCCUGGCCAUGUGAAGUGGCAGAGUCGGAAAUGGAAGUCAGAUGGGCAGCUGCCAGGCUCACACCCCACCCCAUCACCCCUCAGCUGCCCCUGGACAGGAAGCUGGAACUCACCUCUCCAUUGAGGUAGAUGAGGUCGAAGGCGUACAAACACACCUGCACCUGGAUCUCGGACGCAUCCACCUCCUGGGUUGGGGCACAACGGAGUUCGUGAGUGCAGGAAGGUGAGACGGGGCACUGUGCCUGAGGCCGACAGCAUUCAUCUACCGGUCUCCCUCUCACCCCACCUAACUGGCUGCCCAUCUGUGAGGGCAGCCAUGCUGCUGGCUCCAGGUGCUGGAUCCUAACGGCUCUCAGCUAAUUCCGACAACCUCAUUCCCCUUCACCAGAUAUUUGCUCUCCUAGCCUUUUCUGCAGCUAAUGGCAGUAACAUGGCACAGUUCUGGCCAAUGAGAUGGAAAAGGGGAAACCUGUGGGGUACAGGUUGUGGGGGUUUCCAGAACAGAUCUUCUUUCAUAGUAAAACAACAGAGAUGCAGGAAAA
rnacentral:antisense_RNA from 1 species